rnacentral:rRNA from 1 species
UACGAAGGGUGCAAGCGUUACUCGGAAUUACUGGGCGUAAAGCGUGCGUAGGCGGCUUUGCAAGUCCCAUGUGAAAUCCCACGGCUCAACCGUGGAAGUGCAUGGGAAACUGCAGAGCUUGAGUACUUAAGAGGAUCGCGGAAUUCCCGGUGUAGAGGUGAAAUUCGUAGAUAUCGGGAGGAACACCAGUGGCGAAGGCGGCGAUCUGGGAAGAUACUGACGCUGAGGUGCGAAAGCGUGGGGAGCAAACAGG